UUGCUGCUAAACCAGUGGUUAGGUAAUUUCCAAACAACACUUUUAAGCUUUCCCCUAUGCUAUAUUUGUCCUUGCUGAGCCCUGAAGUUCCUUGGGAUGGUUCAAAGGAGGAUCACAAAAGCAGAACUGCAGAAGAGUUACAAGUAGUAGAUUUCCAAAGGGUGACGUCCAUCAGCAAGUCCUGACUCCUCCUAGAGCAUCAUGCCAUUAUAGAGGUUGAGAAGUUGUAAAGAAUCUGGUGGAAACAUCUCAAGUGAACUGAAAUGCCUUUGUUACUGCUGGAAGCUUGAGUGCAGAUUUGGAGAAAGAAGCUUCUUAACGAGUAUAGUGUUGGACCACUUCCACGCUCCAUAAAUACUCAGACAUGCUCUCCCACUUUUCCUUGUGAAGGAUGAUAUUGUGGAGACUGUAAAACAUAAGCUUUCUUCAGGAAACAAAAAAGGAGUGAUUUUUUUUUCUGAAAAGAGAAAUCAGAGUAUUCAUGUAGGUUUCUCUGAGGCUAGGAAAAGUCUAGAAGUGAGCCAAGUGGGAAUUUUAACUAUGUGAAAAUUGUUUAUGAGAACCUCAGGACCCCCCUGAGGAGUGAAAAGAUCCAAAAAUGAACUAACAGGAGGAAGAGCAGUUUGUAGUUAGUCCUGGUUUUGAUGUUCACAUGGCACUGGGGAGAUGAGGGGAGGUCUAACCCAAACCCUUCUAACAUCUCCUUAGUAAAGAUGUCCUUCAGAGCAGUGAGAGGACAUUUUGGUGGUUGUAGUUCACUCUUCUCAUAUGAGGAUCAUACAAAGGCUCUUAACUCUGUCCAUUUCAGCCAUUUUGCCAUAGCCUUGCCUUUCACAUUUGGUGCAUAAUACACACAUGGGGAUGUAAACUGAAUUCACAAAAAUCCAUAAAGAACCAAGUUUCUUUUGGAGCAAGGAGAAUGCUAAGCCAUCAUUUCUUCUGUUUCUGUUCAAAAUUGCUAGAGUUUUAACAGAAACUGAAUACAAUAUGCUUAAAUUUAUUUUUUGUAGAGUGGUGUUGUCAUCUUAGAUUCUCUAUGCAUUUCUUUUCUCAGGGGAGUGAAACCAGAUUUUUUUUUUUCAACUUUAUGACUAUUUUGUUCAACUCUAUCCAGUACUAAAAUGGAUGGUAGAAAAAAAAAAAAAAAAAACAAAAACCAACCAACUGACCAACCAACCAACCAAAAACAGCAAACAAAAAAACCCACAAACCACCCAAACAUACAAAAAAACCCAACAAAAAACUCACUCCCCUCCUCAAAAAAACCAAAUCCAAAAGUGAGCUAAUACCUCUUUUAAAGCAAAUACAUUUUAUUUGACUGUUAUAUUCUGAAUGGAAGCAAAAAAUCAUAAAAGUAAUGAUCCUUUUCCAAAGAAGUGAGAAAUGGUUGAAGUUAAGAAAACAAUAUGUUACUCUUGUGUACUUAGAGUUCUGUAUGAGCAGUAAUUUAAAAAGACAAUGUAUCCUUGUUUAAAAAAGCAAUCUAUUUCCAACUUCUAUGUGUGGCAGUCAAGCAAAAAGGAUUGUCACCUUUUCACAAUUUUAAAACACUGUUUCAUUGCAUCCAGCUUUUGUUUAAAUGCCAACCCUUCUCCUCAAGUGCUGCAUUAUUAUUCUCUGAACAAAAGUGUGUUGCUCAAGUUCCCAAAUAAUUUUUUUGUCCCGUUUCCUUGUGAUUAUCAUAUUAAUUUCCACUUAUUACUUUCAGAAUGCACUAAAUUGAAAAGUUUAAUAAAAGUUUAAGUGACACCUUGUUCUUGUCUUCCAACAGACAUCUGUACUGUACUGUAGAGAGAAAUUAACAGGUAUUCUAUAAGGUGAGGAAAGCAGUCUGAUUUUCCUGUUUUUUUCUCUGGGUUUAGGUUUGUUUUGAGUCCUUUCUCUUCUGGGGCAAACCAAUGAAUGCUAGCACCUUGGGGAAAACAUACCAGGUUUAAUCCAGAGAUGAAAUAUUUUCCAGCUUAAAAAUAGUAAUAAUAACUUUUUUUCUGUAAAUAUAUAUUAUGAAGUGGGACUAGGUGUUAAUUGAUACUGAAGACUAAUGAGCAGUGGUGAAUCAAUCCAAUAGUAACCUGCUUGCUGCAGUUAUUUGUUAAAUUUUUCAUAUCAGUUUUGUCACCUUAAACUUUUUAAAAAAUAGGUUACAGGUGUAAAGUCAUCCAUUAUUUGAUUUUGCAAAAACUUUGUAAAACAGGUUUAUGAAGCUUUCUUCUUAUCUCUUUCCUAAGGUGCAGUAGUGAUGUAUUUGCUCCCAUGGUCUUCAUAUUUGGACAGCUUUGCAGUCCUACAGGGUGAAAUAAAAAUAGCAACUCCCAAGUAUUUUAUUAAUAGGAAAUGGGAAAACUUCUACAGAGGCUUAAACCUUGCCCAGUGAAGCAAAGCAAACUCUUACAGCUCUUCUGCCCUACAUCCUAAGCAUAGCACUCAUUUAGCUAUCUACAGCCUGGCGACCACCAGCUACCAAAUAAUCUACCAUGACUCUUUCAUUUCUGCUGCUUGCAGCAGCACCAGGUUCCUUGCAAUUCCCAGAAUAAAUAUAGG